CGAAUUAUCACAACCCCAGAACCAAAGGUCAGAACUUUGACGGUCCCUGACUUCCCGCAGUCAACUCAAAGCCAUCCAGGAGAUCUCUCAGCAGACGAGGAUGAUGAGGAGCUGAUGAGACUUGGUCGGAAGGCCUGGUCCAGUCAGGGAGACCUGCUGUCUGCAGGUGAAGGGAUGCGUCCUGUGUCAGCUGCAAGCGUAGGCAGCGUGGUGAUCCAGGACCGUCUGACUGAGCUCGUGCGACUGUUCAAAGGUCGGACGGAGCGUCAGAAAGAGAGGCUGGUGGACCCCGAUGAGUCUGAGGGGGAAAGUCCUUCAGCAUGUGAGUAAAAGCAUGCGUCCUGCCGAAUGACCCUCCAGCGCAUCGUGAGAACAGCUGUGAAGAUUGUUGGUGCCUCUCUCCCCUCCCUCCAUGACAUUCACUCUUCCCGCGACCCCUCCCACCCG